AAAAUCACAUUGAAAUACUUUUGGUCAUUAACAGCUGCCCAAGAUCAAAGGCUCUCGCUGUGUCUUUCUUUCAUUCUACCUUUCGUACGUUCUAUCUGCUUGCUGUCAGCUUUUGUCCUGUUUUGCUGAAUGAUUGAAAUUAAUCAUUGUGGAGUUACAACCACUAUCAGCCCUGGUAACAGCUACCAUCAGCCCCGAACACUCAUGGCGAGGUUGAUUCAUAUUCUAUAUGUUUUUGGAUGCAUCUACGACAUCAAGACUGGUGAUAAGUAUUGAACAAUUUGAUAUAUCUCAAGAAUUCAGCUUAAACGAUUAACCAGUGAUUUCUUUUGUUGCUAUAAAUGAACUUUUAUAACUUUAUAAGCAAAAUAGUUGUACAUCAUAGUUAUUACAGCUCAUGAUAUUCAGCAUUAUAGUUCAAGCGCUGAUCUGAUUUGUUCUCACUGUUAUAUUUAAUUCUCAUUUCAAUUUUUUUGCCGAUAAUAUUUUUUGAAUUUUGUAUUGGUCAGUUGACACCACUUCAUUGUUAAGUUUCGAUUUCAAUACCAACCCGAACAUCCACCCAUUUCCAACUAGCUAGCCAGUGCUGCUCUAAAUAUAAAAGGAGAGGCACUUGAAACAAUUCUUUUGUAACAAGGGUUCUCUGUGAGAUUAAAUAUAAUGUAAUAAAUUUAAAUGUUACAAAAUGGCGCCGAACGUAAAAAAGAUUCAGUUGGCGGAGUUUUGUUCUCUUGAAAUUUGUUACUGAUUCAUUAUUUCGGAUUUAUUUCAUUUUUAGAAAGAUUGGAUGGCUGUUGCACUGAUUAUAUUUUUUUCCAACCAAUAUAAUUAAGAAUUAUAUUUAUUUCAAAUUCUGUUAACGCUGUUUCGGAAUGCAUCCAUUUCUUGCGAGUUUUUUCAUUCAGGUUUGUCGUAUUGCUUGAGCUAGCAUAUGGUGAUUGAUUUCAAUUUUUUUCGAUUGGUUUUUCAAUGUUAUUUGAUGCCUGAUGAUAUAGUACAAUUUACUAUUAUAUUUUUCACUUAUUUUACUUCACAAAAUUUGAUUAAUUUAGUUUCGAUUAUUGUUAGAUUUAUUUUAUCGUUGCCAUAAAAAUGUCACAAGAAUAUUGGGAACGUGAAUUAAAUCGAUUCAACUCGAGAGAAUUAUUUUAUGAAAUGCUUAGUAGAGGACUUAAAGUUAUCAGGAAAACUGAGAAAUAUUUUAAGGUUGGAAGGUCGUGGUGAA